rnacentral:rRNA from 1 species
GACGAACGCUGGCGGCGUGCUUAACACAUGCAAGUCGAACGAAGUGGCGAACGGGUGAGUAAUACGUGAGUACCCUGCCCUCCUUUUUGGGAUAAGCCUUGGACACGGGGUCUAAUACCGAAUAAAGGGGUAUGGGCUCGCGGCCUAUCGGCGUGUUGGUUGGGUUAUGGACUACAAAGGCGGUGACGGAUAGCCGGCCUGAGAGGGUGACCGGGGACAUGGGAAACGGGAUAGAGCCCAGAGGCAGACGGGAGGCGGCAGUGGGGGAUAAUGCACAAAGGGCGAAAGCCGGAUGCAGCGACGCGGCGUGAGGGAUGAAGGCUUUCGGGUUGUAAUCGUCUUGCGAGAUCGAACGGGUAGGUGAAGAAGAAGCGCCGGCUAACUACGUGCCAGCAGCCGCGGUAAUUC